rnacentral:lncRNA from 1 species
GUUUUAAAAUGUUGUAACUUGUUAGCAUAAUAGUUACAUUUUGGAGUCGUUAUUCAUAGAGUUGUUUAUAAUACUUCAUAUAUUAAAGAUAAUUGAUUAUCAUUUGUGACAUAAAUAGAGUUUAGACAAAGAUAAUUUGAUUCGAUCGGUAGUAAUAUAAAGAGGCUUACCAGUAAUGUCAAAAACAUACAAACUAAUCGGAUAUUUUUAGAAACCAAAAAUGAAAAGAGGAAUAGAGAGAAGUUAGACUUAUAAUCCUUAAGGAGAAUAUAGUCAAACUUAUAAAUUUAUAAGAUAUACUAGUCAAAAAGAAAAAUACUUUAAAUACUUAAAAAGAAUAGGAAAAAUAAUCGUAUAAGAUUCGAUAGUUUACCCAACAUACAAGCCAAGCACACCU